AUAUAGAAAAGAGAAAAGAGAGAACCAAAGAGAGAGAGAGCUUCAUUGUUUUUGCAUGCAAUGUAAUUAAUCUGCUGGUGCAAAACCGAGAGAGAGAAAGGAGAUAAAGGGGAAAGGGGGCUGAAGUCAUGGUUAUGCUGGAGAGGCCUUGGAGAUGUGAACCCAAGACAACUAAGUGAGGAAAAGUGAGGAAGCUCAAAAAGGUUGUGAAGGAAUUCAUCAAAUUGAAAGUUUUGGGUGAUCAGGCGCAUGACCAGUCUUAGAGGCAUCUGCCUAGAAUCUGUUUUGUCAGCCAACCCAUGUGCCUCCCGUGGAGGUUCCGGAUAUGUCAAGUGAUUGUCGCUAAGUGUCAUAAAGUUUAAGUUCUGUUUUCUUGUUUGGUUAAUCAAGUCUGGUGUAUUUUUGUAAAUAGGGCUAAGUCCCUUUUUGUCAAAUCUGUAUAUAUAGGAUGACUUAAAGUUGAUGUGUAUAUAUGUAUAUAAAUAGUUUAAAAUUUUUCUAUCUCA